rnacentral:snRNA from 1 species
GGAUGUGAGGGCGAUCUGGCUGCAACAUCUGUCACCCCUUUGAUCACCAGGGUUGAUAUGGCUGAUCCGCCUGGCUAGGCCAGAGUCCUCUUGCUCCCUCAAUGCUCCAUGUGUGUCCCUCCUAAAGUUGCUUACUUGUUCUAAUAGGAAACUACCCCCAGUAGAGGUGGACUAUUCCUCCAUCAAGGGUAGACAAGUAGCUGCACUCCCUGUAGAACCUCCAAACAAGAAGGUCAGCAGAAAAUGGAAGGAUAUCUUCUGUUGCUGGAUAGGCAAAACCUAUAUAAUCAAAACGACUAUA